UAUGCUAUUCCACACUUUCGUGUGAAACCGAUGUGGGAUUGUAUCAAUCCAUCCCUCUUUUAAACCGGACGUUCACAGACAGCACACGCCAGGUGGCGAACCCAAAGCCAUGGGCCCACCAUCCCCUUUGCUGCCCUUUUUCCUUCGGGCCCACAUUUUUCGGUGGCACCCCUUUGGUCACACCUACGGGUAGCCACUUUCCAUAGGACAUCCGGAUCCACGUUCGCCGCAUCAAAUUGAUAAGCAUAUAAGAUAGGAAGCCCUAACUUAACCCAAAACCAUGGUCAAAGGCAAAUCCAAAAAUUGCACCUUAUAGGAAACGAAUUACUGUAGAGAAUUGGGAUGAUAUUUGUACUCUUUUCUCUCAAGAUCGUGCUGAUGGUCAAUGUUCGAAAACAUUCCAAGAAAAUACUAAUGAGGAGGUUGAUUUUGCUACUGUUGGAGAAUCGCUCGAUAUGAGUGUUGAAGAAGCUAAUGCUAUGACAGAUUUGGUGGCCCGAAAAAACGAAAGGAGGCAACAUCUUCCUCAAGUUCUCUAUGAUCAAAGAAGAAAGUGUCAUCGACUAAGGUCAUAUCUGAUUGUGUGCACUGAUUUUAGUGACUAUCUAAUGGUGGAAAAGAAUAAGUCUGAGCUUGUUGUGGAGCAGAAAAAGCUUGAUAUAGAGCAGAAAAAGCUUAUUAUGGAAAAGCAAAAAAAAAGAUGAACCCCCAAGAAAUAUUAGCAGAGUUGAAGACGAUGGAUUUGGAUGAGAUGCAGUUGAUCAAAGGCUCUCGAUUUGAUGAUGCGCGAUGGUAUAUUAUUCGAUACAUUUGUGGGUAUACCGGUAGAGUUGAAGUACAAGUGGCUUAAAGCGCAACUUUAAA